rnacentral:lncRNA from 1 species
CGAAAUGAUCAAUGUUAAACAACUCAAACGAGAAACAUAUAUGCUAUUAUGUACAAACAAAUGAACGAAGAAUAGAAAUGAUUUACAGUCACAAAAAGUAAAAUAACAAAAAAUACCGAACUCCGAGGAAAAUUCAAAAUAGAAAGUCGAUAAUCAAAUGGCAAAAUCAAAAGCUCAAAAUACAUCAAACGACCGAGUAUUAACUGCUUUAUUCCUGACUUGGUAAAGGCGUUCUUGAGUAGAAAAUGGUGCAUGAACGCUGGUUUUAUAGCUAGCUAAAUGAGGGACGAAAAAUAUCAAAGGGACAGUCAACUCUCACUUGUUCGGCAGUCGCAUAAAAUUCCAUUAAAUGACAACAAUGUGUGAAAAAAACAGACACGUACACAAAAUGGUUUUAAAAUGUCAAAAAAGAGGUACAGCAUUCAACAUUGUGUUUUAAUCUAAAUCCCCAUAAAUCAAAACAAAAAUAUGUCAUCAAAGAAAAACAAAAAGGUUGAAGCUCAUUAUAAAAACCGAAAUACAAGAAUAAAAACAAUUUCUCGAUAGCUCAAUAACACAAUGAAGGGAUUUAAAAGUACCGAACCCCGUCAAAUUAAUAUUACCAAAAAUAGUGAAACAUGAAAGUUGAUUAUUUACAAAAAAACAAAGAACACUCUAUCACGUAAUUAAGAUGAUAAACAACGUUAGUACCUAUGACAUCAAGACCAUCCGACGUGUGUUAUUUGUAAAGUUGAAUAUUUAUCAACAUGGUCUUGGUAUCUUCCGAUGAACUUUUUCAGAAAAAGGAUAAGACGUUCUUUGAACCCUUGCUCAUCAAAUUUUUGCACAGACACUGUUGACGUUUUGCAAAUUUUGA